rnacentral:lncRNA from 1 species
CCAAAUUAAUUAAGAUGUGAUAUGUUAAAAUAAUUAAAAUUUUACAAACCACAAAUUCUACCUACUACUUAUAUCAUGGCUAUUAUAAAUAGCCUCAUUUGUAACAAAGUGGAGUAUGAGUUGAAGAAAUAAGAAAGAAAUAGAGAGGCAUUUGUGAGUGGUGAGAGUAAAGGUCCAAGUGACCAAAUUGUAAUAUCUACAAAUUUGAGUGAUCAGUUGAG